GAGGCAGGUUGGGCAAUCGCGGUGCUUAUGGCAUCGAGGAAGGUCCGGACUCCAUAGAGCAGGGUAGCGGCUAACGGCCGCCCAGCUAGCAGUGUGCGAAAGCCCGCUGUCUGGGCUGAGGAAUAGGACCACAGAGACGAGUCUGCGGCGCGGGCACAUUAUGUGUGCACUGACACGGCCAUCUCCGUGUUGCGUAUUGGGGCAACCCGAUACGGCGCAGCAGGGUGAAACGCGGCAACCUCUACCCGGAGCAACAUCAAAUAGGCAUACGUCUGGCCUAGUGCCACAAGGGCGGCUCGCUCGAGUAUGCGGGUAGAUGGCUAGAGCGCGGCAGCAAUGCCGGGCCCAGAGGAAUGAUUGCCCACCAGGUUCGCCUGGUGUACAGAAUCCGGCCUAUAGACCUGCCUCACUC
rnacentral:RNase_P_RNA from 1 species